rnacentral:rRNA from 1 species
UACGUAAGGGGCAAGCGUUAUCCGGAUUUACUGGGUGUAAAGGGAGCGUAGACGGAUGGACAAGUCUGAUGUGAAAGGCGGGGGCCCAACCCCCGGACUGCAUUGGAAACUGCCCGUCUUGAGUGCCGGAGAGGUAAGCGGAAUUCCUAGUGUAGCGGUGAAAUGCGUAGAUAUUAGGAGGAACACCAGUGGCGAAGGCGGCUUACUGGACGGUAACUGACGUUGAGGCUCGAAAGCGUGGGGAGCAAACAGG